rnacentral:rRNA from 1 species
AUUGAACGCUGGCGGCAUGCUUUACACAUGCAAGUCGAACGGUAACAGGCCUUCGGGUGCUGACGAGUGGCGAACGGGUGAGUAAUGCAUCGGAACGUGCCCAGAGGUGGGGGAUAACGCAGCGAAAGCUGUGCUAAUACCGCAUGUGAUCUGAGGAUGAAAGCGGGGGACCAGGCAGCAAUGUUUGGCCUCGCGCCUUUGGAGCGGCCGAUGUCAGAUUAGGUAGUUGGUGGGGUAAAGGCCUACCAAGCCGACGAUCUGUAGCUGGUCUGAGAGGACGACCAGCCACACGGGGACUGAGACACGGCCCAGACUCCUACGGGAGGCAGCAGUGGGGAAUUUUGGACAAUGGGCGCAAGCCUGAUCCAGCAAUGCCGCGUGCGGGAAGAAGGCCUUCGGGUUGUAAACCGCUUUUGUACGGAACGAAAAGGCUCUGGCUAAUACCUGGGGCUGAUGACGGUACCGUAAGAAUAAGCACCGGCUAACUACGUG